rnacentral:lncRNA from 1 species
AGUACCAUUAAUUCUCCCAUUGAACAGUUUGCCUUGGUUUUAACAUUUACAGACUGUUGGGAUAUUUUUGUUUGGUUGCAGAUUAUUCUGCUAUUACUUCAUUUAGAAACUGACUUGUUUACUCAGUUAGGUUCACUUAAUUAGCGACUAUAACUUUGGAUUUUGUUUGCCUGUGUGAGUUUGGAGCUUUGUAUAAGCUCUGAAGUAUUCUUUGCAUUUGCUUGAUUUUCAUAGAUCCGUUGUUGUGUUUCUCAGUGUCUUGCUUUGAGUCUCUGGUUCUUGUUCAUGUUUUGACCAUUGAACUUCUAAAUAUUAGCUUUGAUGUGACUUCUAAAUAUUAUUUGUUUAUUUUUAUUUUGGUUUGUGAGAUGUCAGGUUUUCGUGUCACGAAAUCUCGNUGUUAUAUCUUCUUUUUAGGUGCAUUNAUGAAACAGGUUGUUCUUAANUUGACUUAUGAAUGAUACUGUUUAAUGUGCUAUAGUUGCUUUCUUACAUCGUGUUUCUUUUUGUAUAUUUUAUCUUCCUUUAUGCAUGCAGGGUAUUCGCUGCUUAUUCUGAGUCUUGGUGUGUUAUGUAAUGAGAUAGCAUAGCAUCCAUAUGUGUCCACUAAGUGCAGAUAAUUUAAAGUCACUCCUGUUAUGUGUAAUAUUUUACAAGGCUUGUAAUACUUUUUACAUAGUCGUAUUUAUGNUGCCACGAAUCUACUUUAUUUUCACUUGAUGGUCACAAUACUCCUUGAACUCCUGAAUAAGGCCACUUUCUACGUUUCAUGUUCAAUAUUCUCUUCUAUCCAAUCUCUUUUCUUGCACUGUAAAUUAGUUUAAACUUUUUUUAAAUACAAUCCUAUAGAAGUUUAUGAAGUUGAUAAAGGUUUUGUAUAUGACAUGAUUCAAUGAUAUGAUGGUGUAUAACAAAACCCUAUUCUUACCACUGUUCUUUGGUUUUGUCCAUGCUCGCUUCCUCCUC